CCCAACUGUGGGCAACAGCCUAAGUUGAUUAUACCUAGGCAAGUGUUACACUGCUGGGAGAAAAACAGCUACUAGCUGGCGGGCAUCCUGGGCCUGGUUACUGCCACAUCUGUGUUAACCAUACCAGUGUGCCAGUAAAU
ensembl:snoRNA SNORA74 Small nucleolar RNA SNORA74